rnacentral:rRNA from 1 species
UACGGAGGUCCCAAGCGUUGUUCGGAUUCACUGGGCGUAAAGGGUGCGUAGGAGGCUGGGAAAGUCGGGAUGUGAAAUCUCACCGCUUAACGGUGAAACUGCAUUCGAUACUACUCGGCUAGAGGAUCGGGAGGGGAGAGCAGAAUUCUUGGUGUAGCGGUGAAAUGCGUGAGAUAUCAAGUGGAACACCAGUGGCGAAGGCGGUGUCCU